CGUGAAGAAGGUUGGCUCCGUUGACUCACGUUCACCAAACAAAACACAGACGGUAGGUUGACAUGUCUGCAAUUUAAUGGUUUCUGUGGGGAACAAGUGCUGCAGCGGUGCAGCCCAGGCCCUCUAAAGACAUCUAACUGUUUCUCAACAUCUACACAGCUCAAGGGUGGACACCAUCUGGUGAGAAAUGGCAGAGGGAGGUUUUGACCCUUGUGAGUGCAUCUGCACCCAUGAGUAUGCUAUGAGGCGCCUAAUCAACCUGCUCAGGCAAUCUCAGUCCUACUGCACAGACACAGACUGCCCUCAGGAAUUGCCAGGUCCCAGUGGACCAGUCAGCGGAGGAGGUGACCUGACCCUCCCCAUGGUUCUGAUGGGAUGGGCGGUGCUGGCUCUGCUCCUGUUCCUGUUGCGCCCAUCCAGUCUCAGGGGUUCCCGUCCCACAGGCAAACCUACUGGACCCCACAAUAGCGAUGGAAGAGAGCCUCCAGCACCCCCUAUUGACUAGCAGUGGAGAGUAGCAGCACUCACUCACCUGCUCUGACUGGAGCUGCACAAUGAAACAGUGACUGUGACCAGGACAGCGCCAUCUCCCCUUAAUUCAAAUAUCUUUAGCUUUACUCCUAUUUUAAUGCCAUUGUGUUUUGGGGUAGAUCUGUCUAUUAUUCUUGUUUCUAUAAUUCAACUGCUGCUGGAUUAAUGAGCCCUAAUUAUGCUAUUUCAAAGUUAUAAAACAUUUUUUUUUUAUUUUAAUUUUUACAUAAACAUUCAACAUUUGGGCAAGUAUUGGUUAUUUUUGACAAAGAUAAAGAUUGAGGCAGGAUAUUUUACAGUGAAAAAAUCAGAAACGUUUGUGGGAAAUUUAAUAACCAUACAUGGAAAGACAUUUUUUCCACAAAUACAAAACUUGAAUGAAAGUUAUAAAAAAAUGUUGUUUCGUAUAUCUGCAGACAUCCCAUUUUGACUGAUAAUAUUGGCCGACAAGAUCAGCAUGUUGAUAUAGCAGUACAUGGUAUUCACCAAGUCUUUAAUGAGAAGGCGUGGCAUUGUUGUGAAACCCCGAUCUGAGCCCUGGUGCUGACUGGUCGGCAGUUACAUGAACCCAAAAUGAAGAAAUGUGUCGCAUGUGUUGGUGGAAAAAGGAGUAUUAGUUAUAUUGUUGUUCGAGUUCUUGCUGAGUAAUGAUGAAGGGUGGCGGGUUCUUCGGACUCUCCGAAACAUUCCUCUCUUUCCAAAGUUACAGCUCUAAACGGUGCCAGUAAUGAUGUCAUACCACAUCUUUUAAUAACAUAUUUAAACCAGCAAUGUAAUUAAUUAAAUAAAUUAGAAUUACAAUAACAUGGCAUAUUGAUUUUAAUGCAGUGAUUUCAUCUUAUGUUUACAGCCAGUCCUUUAUAUCGAUUACAUACUCCAGCAAAUAGUCUGAUUUGAACAUGUCUGUCGUUUUAAGUAACUGUUGGUUACUGUAGUAUAAGUGAUUUAAGACCGCAGUGACAGACCUUAUGGGUCUGUUUAUCUGACAGUUAAAUGCUCACGCUUCAAACUUGUAUCCCAUAGUUGAAAUGAACUGAAUUGCAAGCAUACAUAUAGGGUGUAUUACAUGUGGUCAUUGUAAAACAAUAUACUCAGCGCAAGCAUUUAAUCAUAUUGAAAUGAUUCAGUGUACUGUAAUUGUUUUGUAGUUAAAAGAUACAAAUCUGAAUGGUAUACUCAAUUUGUAGCAGAUAAUCAUAUUUUAUUAGCACUUUUGUUGUGAUAUGUUGUUUCCUUAUGAAGGUGUGUUUUACUGAUUCAGCUGUCUAAAUGAGGUGGAGGUGAGGGUCUGUUCUUUUCUUACUGAGAAUCGCAGCAGUGUGUGAAUAAUGGGAGCAAUCUAAAGUUUCUACUUCUGCAACUUCAAACCAUUUUAAAGGAAAGGAGCAAGAAAGGGUGCGUUUUCAAACAGUGCCAAAUGCGAAUUUAAAGUUUUGGUCUCAAUGCAAAUUUAGAGAACAGCUUCUUGAGAAAGAACAGCUAUAGUUGAGCUCAUUUCUUUUUUUAAUUUGAGAUAAGAAGACAAGGAAAUGAUCUGCAGUGGAAGUUUUUGUCAUGUCUCAUUUCCGGGGUUUACACCAGAGGUGUAAUUAGUAAACAGAAAAAUAGAAACCUCUAAUGCAGAACAUUAUAGUGGUGAAUGCCUUUUGUUCCUUAACUAUGUAUGUAAAUGUGGGUGGAUAUUUCAACAGCACCACAAACUACAGCCUCAAAGUUAUAGAAGAGAAUCUACCCUUUGAUACAAUCUCAAGAAAAAUGGAACAUUAUAAUAGGUGGUAUUUUUUUAUAUGUACAUCUAUUGUUGGUUAUUGGAUAGCGGAACAUGGUGGAGGGUUUACGUUUUUUUCAGUCAAUGACCAUAUCUUUGUCGUGCCCCUGUCAUGGCAACAAGGCUAUUGAAGUGUAUCUUGGCCUUGGAUUAUGUUCUAGGGUACUUAUGAUAUCAGAAAAUUACAUGGUUAUGUGUCUUUCUUGAACAUGGUGUAAGAGUUCAGAACCUGGAUAUGAUCUGUAACAACUUUGGGCUGAGUUCAUCCCAACAGUCUUCAGUGGCUAGCUCUUAAUUGCCAUAUCAGUGAAUGUCCUCUAAAUAUUUCUUUCUAGACUUGCUUGGGGGAUGGCAGGGAGGAUAUAUAAGGAAGGAAACAGUUAAGUGAAACCAUAGUUGUAUAUAAGUAAGGGGGAAGCCACGCUAGAUUGUUGAGAUGAACAAGUGAACUAUCUGGUACCACAGGAGACCUUGAUAUGCACUAUUUGUCUAAAAGAAAAAGGGCUUCAACUAUGCACUUUUCCUAUAACAAAACAAAAAAAUAAAAUAAUUCAAUCUUA